rnacentral:misc_RNA from 1 species
GUUCAGAGGGGUUAGUUUGCUUUGUUUUGUUGCAUAAAUUAUAUGUACGUUGACAAUUUUGUCCUGUCCUGUUGUAUAGACAGUUUGUGCGAGUUUCAUCUAAUCUUCCUACUAAAGGUUCUAUUUCCAAUACAAUUAUACUUGAUCCUUUGAUAAUUCCUUAACAACGACGUGCUUAUUCACUAUUUCUGUUCUUACAUGCUAGUUUAGUGUGAUUUUGAGUUGAUAAUGAGUGAUGUUUAUCACAAAUUUUGGAUGCUUAAACAACAGCUUUGUUCAUUGAUUAUCACAAGUAAUCAGUCGUCAAAUUGGGCCCUUAAAACCAAGUUUGGGGCUAUAGCUUAUCAGUGGCAUCAAAACUAUUGCUGGUUGAUAGUUGUUAUAGAAUCAAACCCUGAACAAGUCCAUCUGCUAACUGGUUAGCCUUGAGAGCCGUAAGCCUUUAAUUAUUGCCUUGAUAAUUGGCAUUCCCAUUAGCUGGGUUGCAGUCAGCUAAUUUCAUCUUUUUUAAACAAAACAAAACAACACGACUAUAUCCUCAUACAUCUCUGGCUGUUAAAGAAAAACUCUCUUUUAUAGCCAAUAUGAAGGUCAUCUUUUGCCAUCCUUUUAAGAUGCAAAUAAGGAUUGGCAGGUGCAUUUUGCUGACAAACAUGUUUCUGUAGCAUAUUCAAUUGCCAAACACAAACACAAAUGGAGUAUAUCUGCACUUGACCUAAAAGAAAUGUAAUAAUGUAGGGAACAGAUAAUAUAUGAAAUAACUAGCACUUUUGACACAGAACCAUGGCCUGCACAACGACUCCUGCUGGGUGCAACAUGACAAUGCCAAUAAAUAAACCAUUAAUAUAAAGAGAAUUGCUAAAUGUCAAUCGUCUCCCACCACAACAAAGUCACAGAAUACUUCAUCUUCCUAAUUCUAAAAUCUUUUUUCUUCUUCUUUC